rnacentral:rRNA from 1 species
CGGACGGGUGAGUAACGCGUGGGUAACCUGCCUCAUACAGGGGGAUAACAGUUAGAAAUGACUGCUAAUAUCGCAUAAGACCACAGCACCGCAUGGUGCAGGGGUAAAAACUCCGGUGGUAUGAGAUGGACCCGCGUCUGAUUAGGUAGUUGGUGGGGUAACGGCCUACCAAGCCGACGAUCAGUAGCCGACCUGAGAGGGUGACCGGCCACAUUGGGACUGAGACACGGCCCAA